ensembl:miRNA
UGACUCCUGUUCUGUGUAUGGCACUGGUAGAAUUCACUGUGAACAGUCUCAGUCAGUGAAUUACCGAAGGGCCAUAAACAGAGCAGAGACA